AUAUAUCAGAUAUUUAAGUAUACUUAAAUAUCUGCAGGAAUGUGAGAGGUGUCCUCACUUUUGUGAUACACUGUAAUGCUGUUGUGUUGCACUCUUCCUUGCAGCUUCUCUUGGACUUCCCGCUACUUAGGAGCAGGACCGGUCCAAGGCAUAAGUAAACUAAGAGGCCGCUUAGAAUCCCAGGGCCACUAGGGGAACAGAUUUUUUAUUUUGUAUUAAUGAUUUCUAUGUCUAUGUAAAAUUGUUCCCAAGGAUGAAACAGAUUUGUGCAGCUGCACAAUUCUCUCCUUGCUGAUUUCUUUUGACCUACUCAUCAUGUCAAAUAAGAAAGCAGUAUGUUUCAGGUGUUGCCUUAAAAUACAUGCACAGCUAACUUGUGGAAGGUUUAACCCAAAUCAUACACAGAGAAGUUUGGUCUGAUUUUCACUCACCGCAGUGAGUGAAAAUGUGUGCAUGCCAUUUUAUUCAGUGUAUUUAAAUAUCUGGUUAUACAGUUGAAUGUGCUUAGCAUUGUGGACAUUCAUAUGUGAAGCUAAUUUCAUAAUUGGGGGAAUCAUGAGCAGUUCUUAUUUGGAUGAAUGUGAAUUUUGUACAGAGGUACCAAAUUCAUGUAUUUUUUAUAUUUUUGAAUUUAUGAAAGAAAAUAAAAACCACCUCAAAAUGGUACAGGUGCCCAACACUUGAUUUUGAGUGUUGCCUUUGAUCUUGAAUGAUGCCUUUUUCCACAGAUCAGCCAAUAUGAGCAGAUUUUUCACUUUACUCCAGAUCACAUCUAGGGUAUUUUUUGGAGAACCGGGCCCCUGGUUCAACAAGAUGCAGAUGGAUGGAGAUAAGACAACCAUCUUCCAUGACAUUGAUGGAUCAGUUAGUGAGUAUCCUGGAGCGUUUUUGGUUAAAGAAGACAACUGGCUGCUCCGUCACCCUGACUGCAUUGAUGUGCCUGAUUGGAAGGCUGCAAUCUGCAGUGGCCAUUAUGCACAGAUCUACAUCCAAACCCGAAAACCUGCCAACUUGAACAUGCAAAUAGUGAGGAAUGAAUAUCCUGACUGGCCACUGACAUUAGAAGGUGCCCUAGGAAAGAAGAAGCAUUACCAGCAAUUCCAGCCAGUGAUCACAUUAGCCAAAGGUUACACAGUUCACUGGGAUCAGACAGCACCAGCAGAGGUCACCAUUUGGCUCAUCAACUUCAAUAA